CCGCUAAGCACACUUGCCUUCGCGAGUCUUGUCCUUUAUGGAGGACCAUCCGUUGCUAGACUAUCCCUCAUCCGCUCGUACGCUCCACUACGAAGAUCCAAGCCGGCAUAAGGUAGCGCAAGUGAUCCUAGGAGGAAAGCCUCCCGGUAUUCCCCGCUCCGUAAUGUCGUCGACCUCUCGCGUCUCCGACAUUACCCUAGGCCCGUGUACCUUCAACUGUCUAAUACUCGGUCACACGGAACGCUAGGCUUGGCUACUCCGCUAGCCAAGGGACGACCCAUGUUCUAUCGGUCACCCAUAAUAUUUGCACCGGUCAAUUUUUUUGCCACAUAAUAUCCGUGAAUUUUUUAAAUAUCUCAACAUAAUUAUAGGUGACUAUGAAAUAAUUUCUCCUUCAUUAUAGGUGAUUUUUAAUAAUAUAGCAAAAGAUAUUAAUUUUUUGCCAUUAGAUCUUAUCUAAUGAUUGAAAAUAAAAAUAUCUGUUAAUUUUUGUGACAAUAUUACCCUUGCAUUUAUAUCCUAUUUUCUAUCUUUUCUAAAAUAAAAUAUCUAUAUUUGAACUUGGCACGUAGAUUAUUUUUCCUAAAGCAGUAAUAUCCGCACCCACCAAUUCUUUCGCGUGAAUUUCUCAAAUAUCUCAACAUAAUUAUAGAUAACUUUGAAAUAAAAUCACCUUCAUUCAUUAUAGGUGAUUUUUAAUAAUAUUGUAAAAGAUACUAUUUCCUUAAAAAAUUUAAUUUUAUUUUUCCUAAAGUAGUCAUAUUCCCUAAAAUAGUAAUAUCCGCACAACAUAAUUAUAGGUGACUUUGAAAUAUUCCCUAAAAUAGAAAAUCUAUAUUUGAGCUUAACACGUAGAUUUUCUAUACAGUAAAAGAUAUUAUUUUCUUAAAAAAUCUAAUUUUUUUUUCUAAAAUAAAAAAUCUAUAUUUGAGCUUGACACGUGGUAAACAUAUAAAGCGCCACGUGUCAGCUUUUCACAUAAGGUUCAUUAAGGGAUCUACUUUAGUAUAUAGUAAUAAAAAUAAUAAAUAAUAAAUAAUCUAAAUAAAAUAUCCAAAAUUUUAAAUAUUAGGUAAAUUUGAGAUAACUUUUAUAUAUUUUGCUUUGAAAAAAUAUGAUUUAAUAUUAUAUAUGCAGAAGGUAUUAUGUGAUUGAAUAUUAUAUAGGUGGUGGAUAUUAUGUGUGAGAAAAAAAAAAAUUAAGGUAUGCGAAUAUUAUUUGUGAUAAAAUAUGAUAUUAUGUGGGCGACGGUUAUUAGAAAAUAUGAUAUUAUUUGUGAUAAAGCAAAUGUAUGUUAAAUUUGAAAAUGAAAUCGUAUUUUACAUUUUGAUCAGAAAGAACUAACUCUAUAAAAAAAAAAAUAAAUAAAACAAAUGUAUGUUAAAUUUGAAAAUGAAAUCGUAUCUUACAUUUUGAUCAGAAAAAACUAACUCUAAAAUAUUCACCAUCUCUGGGCGAUGAAAUUCAGGCAUAGUAUACAGACAAAUCACUCUAACUUUGAUCUUCCAUUUGUCUCCAAGACGAGUGAUGUCACGUAUUGAAUUAUACCCAAGUGUCAUAUCCUGAGAAAAAUAAGACAUCCAAUACAAAAAUUAAUACAUCAUAUUUAAAUAAUAAAAUAAUAAAAUAUAUGUUCUAUUUUAAAGCAUCAACAUUUAAGAACUAAGAAAAUUACAGGAGUGACAGUAGAGAAAACAAAAUUACGAAGGACAGUAGAGAAAAAAAAAUUACGAAGUAAAAAAUUAUAUCUAUACUACUUAUAAAUUUUUUCGCAAAGAAUAAUUUCAAAGCAACCGCGAAUCAUUUCGUUUUUACUUUGGUCAUCUAUACCGAUUUUUUCGCAACCAAUCAUUUCAAAUAAUUCGUAACAGAUUAUUACGUAUUUCACAACCAAUAAUUUUAAAUAAUUAAUUAUUUGCCAAUACGAAAUUUGAGUUUGACCAUUUUUUUCGCAACUAACCAUUUCAAAUAAUUCGCAAUAGAUUAUUGCUUAUUUCGCAACCAAUAAUUUUAAAUAAUUAAUUAUCUGCCAAUACGAAAUUUGAGUUUGACUGUUAUCUGCCAAUACGAAAUUUGAGUUUGACUGUUAUCUGCCAAUACGAAAUUUGAGUUUGACCGUUAGAUUAUUGAUUUCGGAACCAAUAAUUUUAAAUAAUUAAUUAUCUGCCAAUACGAAAUUUGAGUUUGACCCUUUUUUUCGCAACCAACAAUUUCAAAUAAUUCGCAACAGAUUAUUGCUUAUUUCGCAAGCAAUAAUUUUAAAUAAUUAAUUAUCUGCCAAUACGAAAUUUGAGUUUGCAACAGAUUAUUUCCACCAUGAAAAAAUAAUUCGCAAUAGAUUAUUGCGUAUUUUGCAACCAAUAAUUUUUAAUUAAACCAAUAAUUUCAAAUAAUUCGUAACCAAAUAUCCAUAUUUGAGUUUGACACGUGGCAAGCAUAUAGAAAGCCACGUGUCAGCUUCUCACAUAGGGUUCAUUACACGUGGCAAGCAUAUAGAAAUAUCCAUAUUUGAGUUUGACACGUGGCAAGCAUAUAGAAAGCCACGUGUCAGCUUCUCACAUAGGGUUCAUUAAGGGUUCUACUUUUAUAUAUAGUAAUAGAAGGGCUUGAAUAAGAUUAUGCAAUAUAUGUAG
rnacentral:lncRNA from 1 species